AUCCAGCUCAUGGCAGCCUUCAAACAGCGCGAGGGCACCUCGGUCCCAGCACUGCAGCAGCCACGUCAAGUCCUGUAAUUUCACAGCAUUUCAUGGCAAAUUCUACAGAAUGCUCCUGGCUUUGGGCCUUGGCUGGGAAUUAUUCCAAGUGCUCCUGCCCUGUACUGGAGUCGCACCUGUAGACCAAACAGCUGCUUCCAAAGAAAAAUGAUGAGCCUUAAGUUUGAAGGAGUCCAUGGAGCAAAGGGCAGCAGCAGCAGCACUGGAGCAGCGAAGCCACCUCCUUUCCACCCCAGUGCCCGACGGGGUCUCUGCGUGUUCCUGUGCCCCAUGAGUCCCUGCCACCAGCACCAUGUGGUCACCAGCUCCUCCGCUCAUCCCAAACCUUCCCAGGUGAGUUUUGCACCAGACCCUAAGCCACCUGUUUUCAUCCACACCACGCUGGGAGAGGCUGCCCUGCACCUGAAACAGCAGUGCAGGGUGUGCGAGGGAAGAUCUUGGUGAAAACCAGGAAUAAUCCACCUGGGCACAUGAAAGAGGCGGCUGCCUCUGCAGGAGACGCUGCGUGCGCAGGGGUGGGUGGAUCGAGCCUCGCAGCUUGUUCGUAUUUCCCCCACACAAGUCACAGAAACAAACAUCCGCCAUCUGGUCGGCAUUAAAGCGACGGCCAGGAAGAGGAUCCCACACGUCCUC
rnacentral:lncRNA from 1 species